GAUCAUGGCUCAGGAUGAACGCUAGCUACGGGCUUAACACAUGCAAGUCGAGGGGCAGCAUGGUCUUAGCUUGCUAAGGCCGAUGGCGACCGGCGCACGGGUGAGUAACACGUAUCCAACCUGCCGUCUACUCUUGGACAGCCUUCUGAAAGGAAGAUUAAUACAAGAUGGCAUCACGAGUCCGCAUGUUCACAUGAUUAAAGGUAUUCCGGUAGACGAUGGGG
rnacentral:rRNA from 1 species